rnacentral:rRNA from 1 species
CUACGGGUGGCUCCAGUAGGGAAUCUUAGACAAUGGGGGAAACCCUGAUCUAGCCAUGCCGCGUGAGUGAUGAAGGCCUUAGGGUUGUAAAGCUCUUUCGCUGGGGAAGAUAAUGACGGUACCCAGUAAAGAAACCCCGGCUAACUCCGUGCCAGCAGCCGCGGUAAUACGGAGGGGGUUAGCGUUGUUCGGAAUUACUGGGCGUAAAGCGCGCGUAGGCGGGCUAUUAGGUCAGGGGUGAAAUCCCGGGGCUCAACCCCGGAACUGCCUUUGAUACUGGUAGUCUUGAGUUCGAGAGAGGUGAGUGGAAUUCCGAGUGUAGAGGUGAAAUUCGUAGAUAUUCGGAGGAACAUCAGUGGCGAAGGCGACUCACUGGCUCGAUACUGACGCUGAGGUGCGAAAGUGUGGGGAGCAAACAGGAUUAGAUACCCUUGUAGUC